rnacentral:rRNA from 1 species
UACAGCGAAACUGCGAAUGGCUCAUUAAAUCAGUUAUCGUUUAUUUGAUAGUACCUUACUACAUGGAUAACCGUGGUAAUUCUAGAGCUAAUACAUGCUAAAAACCCCGACUUCGGAAGGGGUGUAUUUAUUAGAUUAAAAACCAAUGCCCUUCGGGGCUCACUGGUGAUUCAUGAUAACUUCUCGAAUCGCACGGCCUUGCGCCGGCGAUGGUUCAUUCAAAUUUCUGCCCUAUCAACUUUCGACGGCUGGGUCUUGGCCAGCCGUGGUGACAACGGGUAACGGAGGGUUAGGGCUCGACCCCGGAGAAAACGCCUGAGAAACGGCGUUUACAUCCAAGGAAGGCAGCAGGCGCGCAAAUUACCCAAUGCCGACACGGCGAGGUAGUGACGAGAAAUACUGAUACAGGGCUCUUUUGGGUCUUGUAAUUGGAAUGAGUACAAUUUAAAUCUCUUAACGAGGAACAAUUGGAGGGCAAGUCUGGUGCCAGCAGCCGCGGUAAUUCCAGCUCCAAUAGCGUAUAUUAAAGUUGUUGCAGUUAAAAAGCUCGUAGUUGAACCUUGGGCCUGGCUGGCCGGUCCGCCUCACCGCGUGCACUGGUCCGGCCGGGCCUUUCCCUCUGGGGAGCCCCAUGCCCUUCACUGGGCGUGGCGGGGAACCAGGACUUUUACUUUGAAAAAAUUAGAGUGUUCAAAGCAGGCCUAUGCUCGAAUACAUUAGCAUGGAAUAAUAGAAUAGGACGUGUGGUUCUAUUUUGUUGGUUUCUAGGACCGCCGUAAUGAUUAAUAGGGACAGUCGGGGGCGUCAGUAUUCAAUUGUCAGAGGUGAAAUUCUUGGAUUUAUUGAAGACUAACUACUGCGAAAGCAUUCGUCAAGGAUGUUUUCAUUAAUCAGGAACGAAAGUUAGGGGAUCGAAAACGAUCAGAUACCGUUGUAGUCUUAACCAUAAACUAUGCCGACUAGGGAUCGGGCGGUGUUAUUUUUUGACCCGCUCGGCACCUUACACGAAAGUACAAGUUUC